UUGGGUUUAAGUGUGCGUAGGCGGCUUUUAAGUCGGAUGUGAAAUCCCUGAGCUUAACUUAGGAAUUGCAUUCGAUACUGGGAAGCUAGAGUAUGGGAGAGGAUGGUAGAAUUCCAGGUGUAGCGGUGAAAUGCGUAGAGAUCUGGAGGAAUACCGAUGGCGAAGGCAGCCAUCUGGCCUAAUACUGACGCUGAGGUACGAAAGCAUGGGGAGCAAAACAGGAUUAGAUA
rnacentral:rRNA from 1 species